GGGUUGUGAGGUUAAGCGACUAAGCGUACACGGUGGAUGCCCUGGCAGUCAGAGGCGAUGAAGGACGUGCUAAUCUGCGAUAAGCGUCGGUAAGGUGAUAUGAACCGUUAUAACCGGCGAUUUCCGAAUGGGGAAACCCAGUGUGUUUCGACACACUAUCAUUAACUGAAUCCAUAGGUUAAUGAGGCGAACCGGGGGAACUGAAACAUCUAAGUACCCCGAGGAAAAGAAAUCAACCGAGAUUCCCCCAGUAGCGGCGAGCGAACGGGGAGCAGCCCAGAGCCUGAAUCAGUGUGUGUGUUAGUGGAAGCGUCUGGAAAGGCGCGCGAUACAGGGUGACAGCCCCGUACACAAAAAUGCACAUAUUGUGAGCUCGAUGAGUAGGGCGGGACACGUGGUAUCCUGUCUGAAUAUGGGGGGACCAUCCUCCAAGGCUAAAUACUCCUGACUGACCGAUAGUGAACCAGUACCGUGAGGGAAAGGCGAAAAGAACCCCGGCGAGGGGAGUGAAAAAGAACCUGAAACCGUGUACGUACAAGCAGUGGGAGCACAGAGCAAUCUGUGUGACUGCGUACCUUUUGUAUAAUGGGUCAGCGACUUAUAUUCUGUAGCAAGGUUAACCGAAUAGGGGAGCCGAAGGGAAACCGAGUCUUAACUGGGCGUUAAGUUGCAGGGUAUAGACCCGAAACCCGGUGAUCUAGCCAUGGGCAGGUUGAAGGUUGGGUAACACUAACUGGAGGACCGAACCGACUAAUGUUGAAAAAUUAGCGGAUGACUUGUGGCUGGGGGUGAAAGGCCAAUCAAACCGGGAGAUAGCUGGUUCUCCCCGAAAGCUAUUUAGGUAGCGCCUCGUGAAUUCAUCUCCGGGGGUAGAGCACUGUUUCGGCAAGGGGGUCAUCCCGACUUACCAACCCGAUGCAAACUGCGAAUACCGGAGAAUGUUAUCACGGGAGACACACGGCGGGUGCUAACGUCCGUCGUGAAGAGGGAAACAACCCAGACCGCCAGCUAAGGUCCCAAAGUCAUGGUUAAGUGGGAAACGAUGUGGGAAGGCCCAGACAGCCAGGAUGUUGGCUUAGAAGCAGCCAUCAUUUAAAGAAAGCGUAAUAGCUCACUGGUCGAGUCGGCCUGCGCGGAAGAUGUAACGGGGCUAAACCAUGCACCGAAGCUGCGGCAGCGACACUGUGUGUUGUUGGGUAGGGGAGCGUUCUGUAAGCCUGCGAAGGUGUGCUGUGAGGCAUGCUGGAGGUAUCAGAAGUGCGAAUGCUGACAUAAGUAACGAUAAAGCGGGUGAAAAGCCCGCUCGCCGGAAGACCAAGGGUUCCUGUCCAACGUUAAUCGGGGCAGGGUGAGUCGACCCCUAAGGCGAGGCCGAAAGGCGUAGUCGAUGGGAAACAGGUUAAUAUUCCUGUACUUGGUGUUACUGCGAAGGGGGGACGGAGAAGGCUAUGUUGGCCGGGCGACGGUUGUCCCGGUUUAAGCGUGUAGGCUGGUUUUCCAGGCAAAUCCGGAAAAUCAAGGCUGAGGCGUGAUGACGAGGCACUACGGUGCUGAAGCAACAAAUGCCCUGCUUCCAGGAAAAGCCUCUAAGCAUCAGGUAACAUCAAAUCGUACCCCAAACCGACACAGGUGGUCAGGUAGAGAAUACCAAGGCGCUUGAGAGAACUCGGGUGAAGGAACUAGGCAAAAUGGUGCCGUAACUUCGGGAGAAGGCACGCUGAUAUGUAGGUGAAGUCCCUCGCGGAUGGAGCUGAAAUCAGUCGAAGAUACCAGCUGGCUGCAACUGUUUAUUAAAAACACAGCACUGUGCAAACACGAAAGUGGACGUAUACGGUGUGACGCCUGCCCGGUGCCGGAAGGUUAAUUGAUGGGGUCAGCGCAAGCGAAGCUCUUGAUCGAAGCCCCGGUAAACGGCGGCCGUAACUAUAACGGUCCUAAGGUAGCGAAAUUCCUUGUCGGGUAAGUUCCGACCUGCACGAAUGGCGUAAUGAUGGCCAGGCUGUCUCCACCCGAGACUCAGUGAAAUUGAACUCGCUGUGAAGAUGCAGUGUACCCGCGGCAAGACGGAAAGACCCCGUGAACCUUUACUAUAGCUUGACACUGAACAUUGAGCCUUGAUGUGUAGGAUAGGUGGGAGGCUUUGAAGUGUGGACGCCAGUCUGCAUGGAGCCGACCUUGAAAUACCACCCUUUAAUGUUUGAUGUUCUAACGUGGACCCGUGAUCCGGGUUGCGGACAGUGUCUGGUGGGUAGUUUGACUGGGGCGGUCUCCUCCUAAAGAGUAACGGAGGAGCACGAAGGUUGGCUAAUCCUGGUCGGACAUCAGGAGGUUAGUGCAAUGGCAUAAGCCAGCUUGACUGCGAGCGUGACGGCGCGAGCAGGUGCGAAAGCAGGUCAUAGUGAUCCGGUGGUUCUGAAUGGAAGGGCCAUCGCUCAACGGAUAAAAGGUACUCCGGGGAUAACAGGCUGAUACCGCCCAAGAGUUCAUAUCGACGGCGGUGUUUGGCACCUCGAUGUCGGCUCAUCACAUCCUGGGGCUGAAGUAGGUCCCAAGGGUAUGGCUGUUCGCCAUUUAAAGUGGUACGCGAGCUGGGUUUAGAACGUCGUGAGACAGUUCGGUCCCUAUCUGCCGUGGGCGCUGGAGAACUGAGGGGGGCUGCUCCUAGUACGAGAGGACCGGAGUGGACGCAUCACUGGUGUUCGGGUUGUCAUGCCAAUGGCACUGCCCGGUAGCUAAAUGCGGAAGAGAUAAGUGCUGAAAGCAUCUAAGCACGAAACUUGCCCCGAGAUGAGUUCUCCCUGACUCCUUGAGAGUCCUGAAGGAACGUUGAAGACGACGACGUUGAUAGGCCGGGUGUGUAAGCGCAGCGAUGCGUUGAGCUAACCGGUACUAAUGAACCGUGAGGCUUAACCUUACAACGCCGAAGGUGUUU
rnacentral:rRNA from 1 species